GAUGAACGCUGGCGGCGUGCCUAAUACAUGCAAGUCGAGCGAACAGACGAGGAGCUUGCUCCUCUGACGUUAGCGGCGGAGGGGUGAGUAACACGUGGAUAACCUACCUAUAAGACUGGGAUAACUUCGGGAAACCGGAGCUAAUACCGGAUAAUAUAUUGAACCGCAUGGGUGAAUAGUGAAAGACGGUUUUGCUGUCACUUAUAGCUGGAUCCGCGCCGCAUUGGCUAGUUGGUCAGGUAAGAGCUUACCAAGGCAACGAUGCGUAGCCCACGUCAUAGGGGGGUCGGCCACACUGGAAGGGGGACAGGGUCCAGACGCCUGCGGGAGGCAGCAGUAGGGAAUCGUCCGCAACGGGCGAAAGUCUUACGGAGCAAGGCGGCGUGAGUUAUGAAGACCUCCGGAUCGUAAAACUCUGUUAUUAGUUAAGAACAAAUUUGUAAUGAACUAUGCACUUCUUGACGGUACCUGGUCAGGAAGCCACGGCUAACUACGUG
rnacentral:rRNA from 1 species